rnacentral:RNase_P_RNA from 1 species
GGAGUGGGCCGGACGGCCGCGCGUUUCCUUGUGAGGCGUGAGGAAAGUCCGGACUCCAAUGGGCAGGGUGCCUGCUAACAGCAGGGCGCGGCGACGCGACGGAAAGUGCCACAGAAAAGAAAACUCCCCCGUCUUUGGACGGAGGAAAAGCUGAAACGGUGCGGUAAGAGCGCACCAGCGUCACGGUAACGUGGCGGCUUGGCAAACCCCACCCGGAGCAAGAGCAAAUAGGAGCGGUUAAGGCUGGCCCGGCCGGCGCUCGGGUAUGCUCGGGUGAGGCCGUCGGCGACGGCGGUCACAGAUAGCUGGUCGUCUACUACAGAUUCCGGCUUUCAGGCCCACUCCACCG